GCUAGAAGAUCUGGGAUAUCUACAGAAAGGAAACAAGCAAAACUCGUCACUGUUACCAAGAGGAGGAGAGUUACAGAUGCUCAGGAUUUGAGUACAAAGGAAUAGGAAUGGAGCUGAACAGAUCCAACACCUGAAAAGACGAUUGGAUCUCAAAAUAUGAAAGAUCCUUCAUUCAAUAAAGCAACAGGAUUGGCUCUGAGGAGAGGAAAGAGCCAGCGUGGACAAUAUUCAAGACACAAUGUUCAAAGGUUGCUGCUGGGAUGGAAGUAAAGAAGAAAGCCCUGGAGACAGGUUAGUGCUGGGACACAGACACUAUCCUGGAGGGCCUGGGACAGGGUAUGUAACCAUAGCGACCAGCGGGUCCUUUCCCCACUGUGGUCCUGGCUCGCAUGCACAGGGUGAAACCGAUCGCCAUGUUUGGGGUCAGGAAGGAAUUUUCCUCCAGGGCAGAUUGGCCAGAGACCCUGGAGGUUUUUCGCCUUCCUCUGGGGCAUCGAG